rnacentral:rRNA from 1 species
CCUACGGGAGGCAGCAGUAAGGAAUAUUGGUCAAUGGAGGCAACUCUGAACCAGCCAUGCCGCGUGCAGGAUGACGGCCCUAUGGGUUGUAAACUGCUUUUAUACAAGAGAAAACCCUGGUACGUGUACCAGGUUGAUAGUAUUGUAAGAAUAAGCAUCGGCUAACUUCGUGCCAGCAGCCGCGGUAAGACGAAGGAUGCAAGCGUUAUCCGGAUUCAUUGGGUUUAAAGGGUGCGUAGGCGGACUGAUAAGUCAGUGGUGAAAUCUCUUUGCUUAACAAAGAAACUGCCAUUGAUACUGUCGGUCUAGAGUAUAGAUGACGUUGGCGGAAUAUGACAUGUAGUGGUGAAAUACUUAGAUAUGUCAUAGAACACCGAUUGCGAAGGCAGCUAACGAAACUAUAACUGACGCUGAGGCACGAAAGUGCGGGGAUCAAACAGGAUUAGAUACCCUGGUAGUCCGCACCGUAAACGAUGAUUACUCGUUGUUGGCGAUAUGACAGUCAGCGACCAAGCGAAAGCGAUAAGUAAUCCACCUGGGGAGUACGCCGGCAACGGUGAAACGUCAAAUGAAUUGA